rnacentral:rRNA from 1 species
UACGUAGGGUGCAAGCGUUGUCCGGAAUUAUUGGGCGUAAAGAGCUCGUAGGCGGUGUGUCACGUCGGCCGUGAAAACCUGCAGCUUAACUGUGGGCGUGCGGUCGAUACGGGCAUCACUGGAGUUCGGCAGGGGAGACUGGAAUUCCUGGUGUAGCGGUGAAAUGCGCAGAUAUCAGGAGGAACACCGGUGGGCCGAAGGCGGGUCUCUGGGCCGAUACUGACGCUGGAG